rnacentral:rRNA from 1 species
GAUGAACGCUGGCGGCGUGCCUAAUACAUGCAAGUCGAGCGAACGGACGAGAAGCUUGCUUCUCUGAUGUUAGCGGCGGACGGGUGAGUAACACGUGGAUAACCUACCUAUAAGACUGGGAUAACUUCGGGAAACCGGAGCUAAUGCCGGAUGAUAUUUUGAACCGCAUGGUUCAAAAGUGAAAGACGGUCUUGCUGUCACUUAUAGAUGGAUCCGCGCUGCAUUAGCUAGUUGGUAAGGUAACGGCUUACCAAGGCAACGAUGCAUAGCCGACCUGAGAGGGUGAUCGGCCACACUGGAACUGAGACACGGUCCAGACUCCUACGGGAGGCAGCAGUAGGGAAUCUUCCGCAAUGGGCGAAAGCCUGACGGAGCAACGCCGCGUGAGUGAUGAAGGUCUUCGGAUCGUAAAACUCUGUUAUUAGUGAAGAACAUAUGUGUAAGUAACUGUGCACAUCUUGACGGUACCUAAUCAGAAAGCCACGGCUAACUACGUG